rnacentral:rRNA from 1 species
AACGAACGCUAGCGGUGCGUUUUAAGCAUGCAAGUCGAACGGUAAUCUAUCUUCGGAUAGGUGAGAGUGGCGAACGGGUGAGUAACACGUAGGUGAUCUACCCUGAGAUUGGGGAUAGCUCAUGGAAACAUGAUGUAAUACCGAAUAUCAUUCUUGGAUUAUGAUCUUAGAAUGAAAGGUGCUUCGGCACCGUCUCUGGAUGAGCCUGCGCCAUAUUAGCUUGUUGGUGGGGUAAAGGCCCACCAAGGCGACGAUAUGUAGCCGGCCUGAGAGGGUGUACGGCCACACUGGGACUGAGAUACGGCCCAGACCCCUACGGGGGGCAGCAGCUAAGAAUCUUCCGCAAUGGGCGAAAGCCUGACGGAGCGACACCGCGUGGAUGACGAAGGUCUUACGAUUGUAAAGUCCUUUUUGUGCAAAGGAAUACGGUGCAGAGGAAAUGCUGUGCCCUUGACGUUAUGCAUAGAAUAAGUCCCGGCAAAUUACGUGCCAGCAGCCGCGGUAAUACGUAAGGGGCAAGCGUUGUUCGGAAUCAUUGGGCGUAAAGGGUGCGUAGGUGGUCGGAUAAGCUCGGUGUGAAAUCUUACAGCUCACUGUAAAACUGCGCUGAGAACUAUUUGACUAGAGUUUCGGAGAGGUAGCUGGAAUUCUGAGUGUAGGGUGAUAUUCCGUAGAUAUUCAGAAGAACACCAAAGGCGUAGCAGCUACUAGCCGCAAGCUGACACUGAGGCACGAAAGCGUGGGGAGCGAACAGGAUUAGAUACCCUGGUAGUCCACGCCGUAAACGUUGUGUACUAGACGUUAGGCCUUUAAGGCUUAGUGUCGAAGCUAACGCGAUAAGUACACCGCNUGAGGAGUAUGCCCGCAAGGGUGAAACUCAAAGGAAUUGACGGGGGCCCGCACAAGCGGUGGAGCAUGUGGCUUAAUUCGAUGAUACGCGAGAAAUCUUACCAGGGCUUGACAUGAUUUGGAAGUCGUCGGAAACGUCGGCGCCCUUCGGGGCCGAAUCACAGGUGCUGCAUGGCUGUCGUCAGCUCGUGCCGUGAGGUGUUGGGUUAAGUCCCGCAACGAGCGCAACCCUUGCCGUCUGUUACCAGCAUGUAAUGAUGGGGACUCGGACGGAACUGCCGGUGAUAAACCGGAGGAAGGUGAGGAUGAUGUCAAGUCAUCAUGGCCCUUAUGUCCUGGGCUGCACACGUGCUACAAUGGUCGGUACAAAGCGACGCGAUACCGUGAGGCGGAGCAAAUCGCAAAAAGCCGGUCUCAGUCCGGAUUGAGGUCUGAAACUCGACCUCAUGAAGUUGGAAUCGCUAGUAAUCGUGCAUCAGAACGGCACGGUGAAUGAGUUCCCGGGCCUUGUACACACCGCCCGUCACACCACCCGAGUUGGAUGUGCCCGAAGUCGUUAGCCUAACCCCGUGAGGGGGGGGCGGCGUCGAAGGUAUGACCGGUAAGGGGGGUG